rnacentral:rRNA from 1 species
CCCGGGUCUUGUACACGCCGCCCGUCACACCAUGGGAGCGGGUUCUGCCAGAAGUAGUUAGCCUAACCGCAAGGGGGGCGAUUACCACGGCAGGGUUCGUGACUGGGGUG